rnacentral:sRNA from 1 species
GGUGUUCCUUAUCUAUCUCUAAUAUUGGUUUAAUUGGAGCCUGUCUUCCUGUGCUCUUGAAAAAAACACACGAAGACAGGCCCAUAGCUUUCGUUGCCGCGUUUAGUGCCUCA